rnacentral:lncRNA from 1 species
UCUAAAUUAGGCUGUGAGCUCUUGAAGGACGUCACUUUCAUAACAUUUGCAUUCUGUUUUGAAGGACAAGUCCAUUUAACUAGGUGAAGGAGUGGGGGAAUCUAUUUCAAGAAGCAUGAGUUGAUAAAGUUUAAUGUGCACAGAGUUCAUGACAUAUAAAAGCAAAGAUAUCCCCAGCCUGGCGCAGCGACUCAUGCCUGUACUCCCAGCACUUUUGGAGGCCUAGGUGGGUGGAUUGCUUGAGCCCAGAAGUUCAAGAUCAGCCUGGACAACAUGGUGAAACCCCAUCUCUAAAAAAUAAAAAUAAAAAAAUACCAGAAAUUUG